GUGUCAGCAGCCGCGGUAAUACAGAGGGUGCGAACGUUGUUCGGAAUUACUGGGCAUAAAGCGCACGUAGGCGGUCCUGUAAGUGUGGAGUGAAAUCCCACGGCUCACCCGUGGAACAGCUCCGCAUACUGCAGGACUCGAGGACGGUAGGGGAGAGCGGAACUCCUGGUGGAGCGGUGAAAUGCGUAGAUAUCAGGAGGAACACCGGCGGCGAAGGCGGCUCUCUGGUCCGUUUCUGACGCUGAGGUGCGAAAGCCAGGGGAGCAAACGGGAUUAGAUACCCCCGUAGUCC
rnacentral:rRNA from 1 species